ACUAAAACUAUGGUAAAUCUUAAGCGAGUCGAUUAGUUUACUUCGAUUGAAAGCAACUGCUUAUAAUAAGUGUUUAAACGGGGGCAAGAAAAAUACUCUUAUAUUUUUCAAUAUAAUUUAAUUUAAUUAAAAAGAUUAAAUUUGACACGUCACAUUUAACAAUAGGUAUGUAAAGGCACUCGCUGCAUGCCAAGAUGCGAUCGAAUAAUUGAACCGCAUCCAGAUGAAAAUUAGACAUGUACAGGAUCCCUGUCGAAUUAAUUUUUGAACUCUGCAUACAGGAUUGAUCCGAGUAGGCUUAAUUUCAGCGCACGGGAUGGAUGUCGAAACAACGAAAAUUGAUGUGCGAACUGUAUGUGACGAAUGAAUUGAACCUGCUCCGGAGACCAUCCUUUAUGUUGAUUGGGUUGAUGUAGAAGUGUGGUGAGUUGUGUUGUGUGGUAAUGUAUGAGUAUGGAUGAUGGUAUGAGUAUCGGAUGUAGUAUAUUGUGCACAGUUGUGUUAGGAUGAGCAAGUCUCUCCGUGUAGAGUGGGUGGAUGCUUAACUAAUUUAAACACUAAGCAAUUUGUCAGUUCCCAUCGUGAAUUCAGUGUGUACGGUCACAAAACUUAAUGAGUGCGAUUACAGGUAGUGCGAGUAUAGUCGAAAAGUGUAUUUGCAUUUUUUGUCCGUGAAUUUUUAAAAACAAAUUAUCGUGUGUAAUAAAAAGAGAAAACGAAAAAACAAAACCUCGACUUAAUGGUUAGUAAGGACGUUGUAAACGUCGGUAUGUGUGAUAAUAGCGGAGGCUGGCAAAACACGUGCCAGCCCAAAGCAACGAAACGUAAAACUAUUGAUUCCCCAAAUGUAAUGAAAAAACAACUAAAGCCGAACAAUACUCCAAACACAUCAAACCGGUUUGCAUACCACAAGUAAACAAUACUAAUAAAAUGAUAAUCAAUUUCUCAACUUUAAUUGGUAGAGAAAACUUUUCGUACAAGUACGGCAGAGAAGGACAAGCCAGAGUUAGGCCUGCAAACAGUGACUCUUAUAGGAAACUUUUGACGUAUUUAGACUCAUAUAAUAUAAUUUUUCAUACGUAUCAGUAACAAGAGGAGAAGCCCUAUAAAAUUGUUAUAAAAAAUAUUCACUAUUCCACACCCAUAGACGACAUUGUACUUGACUUAUCUCAAAAAGGUCAUAUUGUGAGAAACAUUUAGGCUGUUCACGGUAAGGUGGUUAUCGGAUUAUGUGAUUAUUAGAUUAAAAAUAACCUCUAUGCUCCGUGAGCACCCUAUGUUGUAUGGUUAUGUGCUUAUUUUUACACAAACAGCUGUUCAUUGUUUACAAUUUUAGUUCAGUGAAAUUCCAACUUAUAAAAUGCCUAAACAAAGUUUAAAAAGCAAAAUAAUCGAAUUUAAAAUAAGUUCUGCUAUUCAGGAAAUGGACUUUAUUGAAGGUAUGUGCUUAUUAAAUAAUCCGAAUUUUAAGGGUUCAAAAAAUUCUUUGUAUACAAUUUGCAGACAUCUUGCAUAAUUUGCUGAUUGUAAACAAAAAACAGCUGUUAAUAGCAGAAUUUCCAAUAAGAAAAUCUAAAUGGAAAUGCCAUUCGCUUAGUUUUAUUUAUUUUUUGUGCUGCCAUUUAGUAAAAUUCCAACGACUUUCUAACACUGGAAAUAAGCAAACAACCACAUAAUCUGUAAACAAGGGCCUAGGUUGGUCAACUUUGGUUAUUUUGUCAUAACGCAUUUUGUUGUUGUUUACUUAAUCACAUAACCACAUAACCCGAUAACCACCUUAUCGUGAACAGCCUAAUUGUUUUUUCCAAAAUUAUUUUAUUUAUUGAAUCUGUUUUUUCUUAAAGCCUAACACUAAGUUAUAAAAUCUUAAAUCUAUUUAAAAACUAGACAGGUUCAUACAAGUGGUGAUACGUCGCUCUUUAAUACGCAGGCAUAUCUCUUCUUUUCAGUUGUGUUUGAUCGCAGGAAUGUACCAAGGCAUUGGCCAAAGGGUUUGGGUGAUCUCGGAGUUGAGAAAUAUAUUCAAUUCUGCUGUCUUCUACUUCUUUCUUUACCAUAGGGAUACCAAGGUCUUUAUGGAUAUUUUUGUUAUGCAUGUACCAUGGUGAACAUGUAAUUGUUCUAAGCAUUUUUGAUUGAAACCUUUGUAAUGUAUCAAUAUUAGUUGCACAGGUCGUACCCCACAGUUGAAUGCCAUACAUCCAAAUCGGCUUUAUGACCGCAUUAUAUAAAAUAACUUUGUUGUCUAGGCUAAGUUUGGAGUUUUUAUUUAAAAGCCAAUUUAAAUUUGCAGCUCUAGUCUUCAAACAUGUUAUUUUACUAGAGAUGUGUUUUCUCCACGUGAGUCUUCUAUAUAGGUGAAUACCAAGAUAUAUUACUUCGAUCGCUUGGGGUACUAAAAUAUUGUUUAUUUUUACUGCCGGCACAUCUUUGGUCUUAGCGAAAAUGUAAUAUGCAUACACUUCUGUUCAUUCACAUUUAUACGCCAGUUCGCUAGCCAUUCUUCAACAGAACUUAAAUGCUUCGCUAAUAUUCUUGAUGCUAAAAUGUGGCAUUUGUUACGGCUCACUAUAGGUGUGUCGUCCGCAAAAGUUGAAGUUAAUACAUUAUUAGCUGUUGGAAGACCUGCUGUAUAUAUGAUGUACUCGUAUAGUGUUGGGCCUGCCCUAGAGUACACCAGCCCUUAUCGGUCGUUCAUCAGAUAUGAAAUCUCCCACUUUUACAAUAAAUCUUCUAUUUUUUAAAUAAGACUCCAUUGUUUUAUACAAUUCUAAAGGUAGACUUUUUUUAAUCUUAUAUAAAAGACCUUUCUGCCACACCUUAUCGAACGCUUGAGCCACAUCUAAAAAUAUUGCUGAAUAGUACCCCCUGUGCUCAAAUGCUUUCCUUGUCUCGUUAGUAAUUCUAUUUACUUGCUCUUUUGUGCCAUGUUUCGCACGAAAACCGAAUUGAUGCAUUGGUAUUGUAUUAUUUUCGUGGAGGAAAGGAGAAAUCUUUGAUAGUAAUACUUUUUCAAAUACUUUUGAAAGACAGGAUAGAACAUUGAUUGGUCUGUAUGAAGACGGCUGUUUUAAGUCUUUCCCAGGUUUAUGUAUCAAGAUUUCGACUUUUUCCAUGAAAUUGGAUAGUCUCCGAAACUAAGAAUUAGCAUUUUUGAGGAAAUAUUAUUCCCGGCGACUUUUUUUUAUUAAGUUCAUUGAUGAUACCUAGAUACAUAUAUAGCGACUCUUUAGCUGUGUUGGGUAAGAUUGAGCGGAAAUUUGUUCUUUGGCAAAAUGGGUUGAAAUACCUUUUCUUGGUGAUUUGCAAAGUAAUUAGCCUUUUCCUCGUCACUUCGAGCCCAAUUUCCACCCAAGUCUCGUAUAGGCAUGUUGGAGUCUGUUGGUGGCUUCAUGGACUUUUGGGCUUUCCAAAGGGAAUUUUGCUUGUUUGAAUUUGAACACACCUUAUUUAUAUACAUUUCGGUGUUCAAUUCUUCCUCAGUUCCAAAAGAUUCCAAAAAUCGAAUUAUUCCUUUCCAAACAUCAUAUAACACAACUUAUCAACCAUGUUACCGACCAUUUAUUCAACCACCACUACCAAUACUCAGAAAACCCCAUGCCUUUUCCCCAACAUCCACCUUACUUACUUACAACCUAGUGCACCAAUGAUGCAACCACACAGACCAAACCCACCAUUUAACAGGCAUAGUAUAUUUGACCAGAAUCGCUUUGGACCCUAUUACGUAGAUGUACCGACUUAUUUCCAAACAAGGGAAAAUAUGACGACUAAUAACACCGUUAAGAGACAGAGACCAUCAGAUAGCGAACAGUAAAGAAUGAGUAUAGAAGAACUGAGAUGGAGCAAGCCAAAACAUAGUAAUUAAAAACAAUAAUAACAAUCUAAGGUGUCUUAUUGACACCGGUUCCGCAAUAAAUAUGUUGACCAAAAAUAUAUUCAAAACACCUAUCCAAUAAACUAAACACUUAAUUCACACUAGUAAUGGCUCUUUAACAAUAAAUGAAACUACAACCCUGCCACGGACCAAAUAAUUCCAUAUUGCCUAAGAAUUUUUAAUUCACCAUUUCUCAGACCAUUACGAUAUGUCGAUAGGACGUAAUUUGUUAUCAAAAGCUAACGUCAUAAUAGACAAUCAAAAAGGAACAGUUAACCUAUUUAAUAAAGAACAUAAACUGAUCAAUACAAGUAACAUCAUAGAGCAAAAUCAUAUUCAAGAAUAUCCCAUAUUUUAAGAACAAUCUACACUGCAAGAAAAUUUAUUUCGACUAGACCAUUUCAAUAUAGAAGAAAAAUAUAAACUAACUAAUUUGCUAAAAAAUUUCCAAAAUAUCUAAUACCACGAAGGUAAUAAACUGACUUUUACCAACCAAGAAAAACACACUAUUAACACCACACAUAACGCCCCCGUAUAUAUAAAGUAUAACUACCAACAGAUCUUCAAAAAAAAGUAAAACAACAAAUUCAAGACAUGUUCGUCAUCUUCUUUAUUGGUGUAGACACCGCUUACGGGAUUAUAGCCGAGUUAACAACAGCGCGUCAGUCGUUUCUUCUUUUCGUUAUGUGACGCCAAUUGGAUAUUCCAAGCGAAGCCUGAUCCUUCGCCACUUGGUUCUUCCAACGGAGUGGAGGUCUUCCUCUUCCUCUGCUUCCCCCGACGAGUACUGUGUCGACUACUUUCAGAAUUGGAGUGUUUUCGUCCAUUCGGACAACAUGACCUAGCCCGAGUAGCCGCUGUCUUUUAAUUAGCUGAACUAUGUCAAUGUCAUAGUAUAUCUCGUACAGCUCAUCGUUCCAUCGAAUGCGAUAUUCGCCAUGGCCAACGCGCAAAAGACCAUAAAUCUUUCGCAGAACCUUUCUCUCGAAAACUCGCAACGUCGACUCAUCAGUUGUUGUCAUCGUCUAAGCCGAUGGACCAUAUAGCAGGGCGGGAAUUAUGAAUGACUUAUAGAGUUUGGUUUUUGUUCGUCGAGAGAGGACUUUACUUCCCAAUUGCCUACUCAGCUUGAAGUAGUACUUGUUGGCAAGAGUUAUAAUGCGUUGGAUUUCCAGGCAGACAUGGUGUUGAUGCUGGUUUCUAUAUAGACGAAAUUAUUUACGACUUCGAAGUUAUGAUUGUCAACAGUAGCAUGGCUGUCUAGUUGCGAGGGCUACGAUUGUUUGUUCGAUGACAGUAAGUAUUUCGUCUUACUCUCCUUCACUGCCACACCCAUUUGCCUUGUUUCCUUGUCCAGUUUGGAAAAAGCAGAACUAACAGCGCGGGUGUUGAGGCCGGUGAUAUCAAUAUCAUCGGCAUACGCCAGCAGCCGUACACUCUUAUAAAAGAUUGUACCUGCUAGAUUAAGUUCUGCAGCUCGAAUAAUUUUCUCCAUCAGCAGAUUGAAGAAGUCGCACGAUAGGGAGUCGCCUUGUCUGAAGCCUCGUUUGGUAUCGAACGGCUUGGAGAGGUCCUUCCCGAUCCUGACGGAGCGUUUGGUGUUGCUCAACGUCAGUUUACACAGCCGUAUUGGUUUUGCGGGGAUACCAAAUUCAGACAUCGUGGCAUAAAGGCAGCUCCUUUUCGUGCUGUCGAAAGCAGCUUUGAAAUCGACGAAGAGGUGGUGUGUGUCGAUUCUCCUUUCACGAGUCUUUUCCAAGAUUUGGCGCAUGGUGAAUAUCUGGUCGGUUGUUGAUUUUCCAUUUCUAAAGCCACACUGAUAAGGUCAAUCAGUUUGCUGACGGUGGGCUUUAAUCUUUCACAUAAUACGCUCGAUAGAACCUUAUAUGCGAUGCUGAGGAGGCUUAUCCCACGGUAGUUGACGCAGAUUGUGGGGUCUCCUUUUUUGUGGAUUGGACAAACCACACUUAAAUUCCAAUCGUUGGACUUUGGCUUUCAUCCGACCCUAUUUUACAGAGAAGCUGAAGCAUGCUCCUUAUCAGUUCUUCGCCGCCGUGUUUGAAUAGCUCGGCCGGCAAUCCAUCGGCCCUCGCCGCUUUGUUGUUCUUCAGGCGGGUAAUUGCUAUUCGAACUUCUUCCUGGUCGGGCAAUGGAACGUCUGCUAAAUCGUCAUCGAUUGGGGAAUCGGGUUGGCCUUCUCCUGGCGUUAUACGUUAACUGCCAUUCAGCAGGCUGAAGAAGUGUUCCCUCCAUAAUUUAAGUAUGCUCUGGGCAUCUGUGACUAGAUUACCUUUGAGGGUUCCACAAGAGUAUCAUACACAUAUAACAGAUUAUACACAUUUCUUAUAAAUACAUGAAUAGAGAAUUAGGCAAACAAUAUCUUCUUGACCAUAUUUGUUCCAAAACCAGCGCCCUUUACAUAAAUAGUGAUGUAGAUUUCGAAAUGAUUCAAGGUGCAUAUAGAGAAUAUAUGAAUCCAAAAUAUACUAAAAUUGUCCGAAGCCUUGUUUUAUUAAAAAAAUAUAUCUAUAUAUGGAGAAUUUAAAGAAUAAGUACUAAUUACUCACGAAAAACUUCUACAGCCAGGGAUCCAAAAAACUACAAAAGUUUUCGGCGAAACAUGUUAUUUUCCCAACAGCCAGCUUCUUAUCCGAAAUAAAAUAAACGAAUGCCAAAUAUGUAUCUUAGCAAAAACAGAACAUCGUAACACAAACAUGCCCAUGAGAAUCACACCCGAACCCGAACACUGCCUCGAUAAGUUCGUAAUAGACAUUUAUUCUUCCGAAGGCAAAAUACACGUAUGCACCAGAGACCUGCAUUGAGUAUGAUCGAUCCGGUUUGAUCAGCCACGCUCAAAACGGUCAAACUCAGCACAGCGGUUCGCUACAAAAUUGUUCGAUCGAGCUUCGUGCUCAAAGCGAAGGAGUUCGUCAGUUGAUUUGAUUGCUCUGCUUACUGAUUGAAACUGUUUGGUUGGUUCCGGUAUGAUGAUUGGAAAUGAUUGUACAGAAAAAUACGAUCAAGUCCAACGAUGCACGAAAACUCAGACAUCGAUCAACCGUGCGUUUGAAUUGAUUGUGAUUGAACCAAUCAGAUCGAGAAUUGCCCUGCGAAUAUGUAUGUAUGUAUGUGCAUAAUUUGUAUGUACAUAUUUGUGUGUUUUAACGGAAACAAGUUGCGAUGCAUAAAAUUAACCAAAACAUUACUGCAUAUAUUUCUUCAUUUGUAACGCCUAAAACUAAAAUUCAAUUAUUGCUUAAAAUUAAUAAACAAAGGUAAUGCUUAAAAUAUUAGGGAACACAAAUUUCAAAUUUCUGUCACUUCUUCAUUGAGAUCAACAAAAUCUUAAAAUUAAAAGAAGGUAAUAAACUUGGUUUCUUAAUCGCUAAAACUUAAAAAAAAUGAAUUUAAAAACAAUAAAUUAUCAACUGAACAUGGUCCGAGCCUAUUUCUUUUUUCAGUUAUAAUAUUUCCAGCUAAAGAAAAAGAACGCUCAGCGACUGCGCUGCUGGCAGGAACCACCCGGUAUGACCAAACGGUAUGAUUGUGAUCGACCGGAAUGCAAGCAUCAUUCUCGAACAUUCUCUGCUGCUCACACAAGUCGUUCGAUCGAGAAAAAUCAUUACGAAACAAGCAGCAGUGAUUGAAACUGAUUGUUCGCUUUGAGCACGCUCGCUUACGAUCAUUCAUUUUUGUUGAAGCAAAGUUUUCCGUCACAAAAAAUCUGAGUCAAUGAUCGGGUAUGAUUGAAAAAAUUGUGAUCGUUGCAGCUCUCUGGUAUGCACAUAUUUAAUCAAUUAGGAAAACCCGGAAUUCUAAAAGCAGAUAGAGACGGCGCAUUCGAUAGAUUAGCUCUCAAACGAUGGCACGAAACCGAAGACAUAGAACUACAACAAAGGCAGGCGUAGCAGACAUAGAAAAACUCCAUAAAACAAUAAACCAUAAUAAAUCCAUAUUAUUAAAAAUUAAGACGACAAUGAAGCUAAAUUAAGUAAGAUGGAAAUAUUUACAAUCACAAAACUAAACACGACGCAACCGGACAAACUCCUGCUCACAUAUUUCUUUACGCCAGACAACCAAUCUUAGAUACACAACAAAACAAAUAAACUAAAAUUAAAGAGAUAAAUAACAAGUAAGGAAGGGCUAAGUUCGGGUGUAACCGAACAUUUUAUACUCUCGCAUGAUAAAGUGAUAAUCGAGAGUUCAUUAUCCGUCAUUUACCUAUCAUCAUUGGUUCCUAAUGUAUAUAUUAUACAGAGAAGGCAUCAGAUGGAAUCCAAAAUAGCGUUAUAUUGGAAAAAGGCGUGGUUGCGAACCGAUUUCACUCAUAUUUCGUACAUGUUAUCAGGGUGUUAAGAAAAUAUUAUAUACCGAAUUUUAUUGAAAUCGGUCGAGUAGUUCCUGAGAUAUGGUUUUUGGUCCAUAAGUGGGCGACGCCACGCCCAUUUUCAAUUUUUAAGAAAAAUCUGGGUGCAACUUCCUUCUGCCAUUUCUUCCGUAAAAUUUAGUGUUUCUAGCGUUUUUUGUUAGUCGGUUAACGCACUUUUAGUGAUUUUCAACAUAACCUUUAUAUGGGAGGUGGGCGUGGUUAUUAUCCAAUUUCUUCCAUUUUUGAACUGUAUAUGGAAAUACCUGAAGGAAAUGACUCUGUAGAGUUUGGUUGACAUAGCUAUAGUAGUUUCCGAGAUAUAUACAAAAAACUUAGUAGGGGGCGGGGCCACGCCCACUUUUCCAAAAAAAUUACGUCCAAAUAUGCCCCUCCCUAAUGUGAUCCUUUGUGCUAAAUUUCACUUUAAUAUCUUUAUUUAUGGCUUAGUUAUGACACUUUAUAGGUUUUCGGUUUCCGCCAUUUUGUGGGCGUGGCAGUGGGCCGAUUUUGCCCAUCUUCGAACUUAACCUUCCUAUGGAGCCAAGAAAUACGUGUACUAAGUUUCAUCAUGAUAUCUCAAUUUUUACUCAAGUUACAGCUUGCACGGACGGACGGACGGACGGACGGACAGACAGACAUCCGGAUUUCAAUUCUACUCGUCACCCUGAUCACUUUGGUAUAUAUAACCCUAUAUCUGACUCUUUUAGUUUUAGGACUUACAAACAACCGUUAUGUGAACAAAACUAUAAUACUCUCUUUAACAACUUUGUUGCGAGAGUAUAAAAACAGACGGGAAUACGAAGUCGACACCAGAUAUCGAAAAGGACCAUUACAAAAAGGUAAAUUAGAAAACCCAUUUAAAUUAACACGAAAUGUCGAACAAACUGACGAAGAUCAUUACAAAAUUACUAACAUAAAUAGAGAAACACAUUAUUACAAGACAUAAAAUCAUGACAAACCCAACAGAUCCGAAUCAACAACAUCGGUACUGAUCAUGGAUACCUCUUUUUCACUGAUAAACCAAUACAAAGUACAUCAGAAUAUUGACAUCAUUGCAUCCGCACAGGGGCGGAUUUACCGAACAGGCAACAUAGGCAGCUGCCUAGGGCGGCAAAUUUUUAGGGGCGGCAAAUUCUGACCGUUUACACUAGAUAAAAUGCUACUUUCAAAUGAAAACCAUAAGAUUUUUCACCCAAAAGUGUACAAGUCUACCAUAUUGUUGAAUUUACUUUUCUAACAAUCUUGUCAAAUGAAAUUUAGCCUCUUUAUUGUAUUCUCACAAAUGCGCAGUUCAAGUUCGAAUACAUGCAGGGCUACCACAAUCGGGCAACCGCAGUUACUAUAAAAUCGAUAACUCUCGAAACGUUGAUUCGAUACAUGGCUGCCACCGCGAUUGGAGUUGAUGAAUUGUUGACAAUGUACUGAAAAUUUAUUUUGAGUAUUAAGGUAUUCUAACUGGAAGAUUUAUCUACAUUAACUGGAGCGUCAUUUUUUUGAAUAAAAUGAGUGACGGGCGGAAUCGAUUGAGCGGUUCUGAAUAUCGCAAGCAAGCUGCGAAGAGAAAAAUCAAAGAUGACGAGGUUAUGGCAAAAACAAAAAAACUUUCUUCUUAUUUUGUGCUUCAAGGAAAUCAAAGUGACACGGGUAAUCCAUCAGUUACCGAAAAAAGCGAAAUUUCUGGAGAAACAAUAGACUUCGCAGAAUCUACGAAACAAAUAGAGUCAAACAUAUCCGACAACUUCAAUUUCACAUUCAGUGACGACCCUGCGGAAUGGCUCAUAAAUGACGCAUUACGUGAUUAUAUCGCUAAACAUAAUUAUAAAAGAAAUGACCAUCUUGAUUUUUCGCAGUCAAAAAGAGUGCAUAAUAAUUCAAGCCGGUAUUUGAAUUCAUCUACGUUCGAAAGAAAACUUUUAAAUGGUGAAAAAACUCCCCGUGUUUGGUUAGUAUAUUCUCUGAGCAAAGGAUCGGUAUAUUGUGCUCCAUGCCUUCUUUUUGGCGGCGAUUCUGCUUUUUCUGGAAAAGAUGGCUAUAGUGAUUGGAAAAAUGCGGCAAUAAGAAUGAAUCAGCAUGAAAAUUCUGAAAAGCAUUAAAGUUGCUUGAAACUUCUAAAAGAUAGAGCCAGUGCUUUUGGUCGAACCGAAAAAACUUUGCUCGCUGAAUAUGACAAAGAAGUAGUUUACUGGAAAAAUGUUUUAAAACGAGUCGUUGCUGUCAUUAAGAGUUUAGCUUCACGUGGACUGCCUUUUAGAGGGCAUGAUGAAAAGCUAGGUUCUCUUCACAACGGAAACUAUUUGAUGCUUUUUGAAUUGAUAUCUGAAUUUGAUCCAUUUUUAGCUGAGCAUAUUUCGAAAUUCGGAAAUAAAGGUAUCGGUAGUACCAGUUAUCUGUCAAAAACGAUUUGCGAAGAGUUUAUUCAAAUACUAGCUGAUAAAGUAUUACAGGUUAUUAUUCAAGAAGUCAAAAGUACAAAAUAUUAUUCUAUCAUUGUUGAUUCCACACCUGACAUUUCACAUGUAGAUCAGCUGUGUUUUUUACUGCGAACAUGAAGAAAGACGGUAUGCCGGUAGAGCGUUUUGUGAAAUUUCUACCAAAUGCAGGCCACAAGGCUGUAGAAAUGGAUAACGUUGUAGUUUCUACCUUAGGUGAUUUACAAGUUGACAUUAAAAAUUGUCGAGGUCAGUCGUACGACACAGCACGAAAUAUGUCAGGGAUUUAUGCAGGACUGCAACAGUUGAUUAAAAACCGUAAUGAAUACGCUGAAUACGUGCCUUGUGCAGCUCAUUCUCUCAAUUUAGUAGGAAAUCACGCAGUUGAAAGCAGUUCGACAGCUGCUGCUUUUUUUUAAUGAUCUUCAAAGUUUGUAUAACUUUUUCUCAGCAUCUACGAGUCGUUGGGAUAUUCUACAAUCUUACUGCAAGAAAUCUGAGAAAAUUACUGUAAAAUCCCUUUCACUAACACGCUGGUCAGCUCGCAACGAUGCCGUUUGCACUCUUGAUCAGUAUUACACUGACAUACUACAAGCUUUGUAUUGCAUAGAACAUGAUCUUUCACAAAAAGCUGUCUCACAAAGUGAAGCCAAAGGUAUUCGAAAACGUUUUGAAUAACUAGAAACAGCUUUUAUGCAAUCUUUGUGGAGUUUUUUACUUUUGAAAUUCAAUGCUGUAAGUAAAAAAUUACAAUCAACUCAGACUAACCUGAAUGAAGUAGUUCAAUUGUAUCAAAGUCUUAUAAAAGUUGUGGGUGAUGCACGUGAAGAUUUUGACUUUUUUGAAGGUAGAGCAUUCGAUUUGUCAGUCAACCAAGAAUACAAAACAAUUCAGGUAAGGUAAAUUUAUCACGAUGAAACGAAAACAGAGAAGGUAACAUUGCUUGGGAAAGAUGACUUCAGAGUCAACACAUACAAUGUUAUCUUUGAUAAUCUAUUACUUGAAUUACGGGAAAGGUGCCGAAAAUAUGAAGGAAUUAACGAAAAAUUCUCUGUUUUGAUUGAUUUGGGGAACUUGAAUAAUGCUGACAUCCGGGAAAAAGCAAAAAUUUUGCAAAAAGCAUUUAAUGAAUAUUUGGAGAGUUCAUUAGAUGAUGAAUUGAUUCAUUUCAAAGCAUAUCUUGAAUGUGAUCAGAAUUUGAAAACAAUCAAGCCUAUUGAAACUUUCAAGUUUUUCAGAAGUGAAGAUCUUAACGCAGUUUUUCCAAAUGUUGACAUUGCUUACAGAAUUUUCCUUUCCUUAGCUGUCACAAACUGCAGCGGUGAGAGAUCGUUUUCUUGUUUGAAACGAGUUAAAAAUUAUUUUAGAUCAACUAUCGGACAAAAUCGCUUGAAUUUUUGGCUUUGUUGACUAUAGAAGCGGAAAUUUUACGUGACAUAGAGUGCGAUGAAAUCAUUCGUGAUUUUGCGAUUCGUAAAGCACGACGUAAGAAUAUGUGAACAUGAACCGACUACCAUAUAGGCAACAGACAAACGCACUGAGCUAUAAAAGCAUUAUGUACAACUGUCAAUAAAUAUUAUGAAAAAUGAUAGAAUUGACAUAUCCUAAUUUAUCACUCCCAACUUUUUUAAUUGUACAUAUUUUUCUAAUGUACAAAUUCAUGAACGCAUUCAAAAAACUCGAGGUCAGUGCAUCAAUAACUGAAAUGGCAAAAAUUAGGCUGCUGUCUGGGGCGGCAAAAUUGUAACUGCCUAGGGCGGCAAAUUGCCUUAAUCCGCCCCUGCAUCCGCAUCAACUUUACUGAUAUAGAAAACUUAACCCACUGUUUCAAUACUAAAGCAGAUAAUUUUACUAAUGUCCCACAAAUUAAGCUUUUACACAAUAAAAUGUCAAGGAAACUUAACGGAAUAAACACAUACCAUGCAAAUAGACAGAAACGAAGAUUGAUUAACAUAGUAGGAUCCGCAUUUAAAUACUUAUUUGGAACACUAGAUAAUAACAACCGAAUGAAAAUUCAAAAUCAAUUAUAAUCAGUAGCAACAAACUCAAUCACUUUACAUGAAAUAGAUUGAAAUUAUUGGUUAAUUAACAACAAUAUUCAAAAUAUUAAAGAAUUUGAAGAUUAACAUUUUAUUAACAGAGAGCUGUUUAUAUACGAACUAAUUCAAUUUACCGAAUACAUAGAAUAUAUAUUAUAAUGGGAAUGCAACUUUCUCGACUAAGACUCUUCAACCCAAAAUUACAUAAUUAUGACAAAUUAGAAAACGUAGAUAGUAGUAAUAUUUUGCUAACUAAAACAGCUACUUGGAUUAAUACUAAUCAAAUACUUAUCAUAUGGCAUAUCCCUAUUAAACAAAAAACUGUUAAUGCUAUUUACAUAAUACCCUAACCGGGAUAGUAAUGGUUAUCAACUUGAUCAUUUAGAAAAUGAUAGUUAUUUCGAAGAACAACCAAGAUUACAAAGAAAUUAACGAUGAAUGUAUUAUAGGAAGAACUAACACGAUAUGUAAUUUCGUCCCUAUAACGGUCAAACAGGUAAUUAAAUAUGUAGAACCAAACAAUAUUCUAACUUAGAAUGCAAAUGGUACCAUUAUAAGACAAGAUUGCCAAGAAUUAAAUAAAAACUUAACGAUUAAAGGUAAUAAAAUAAUAACAUAAAACAUUGUUAAAUUAAAAUAGGAAAAAGAGUAUUGAUCCAUUGUGCGCACCCUUAAAAUUAAUAAAAAUAAAACCAAUAUAACAUAAAGACAUUGUAAAGUUGAUAUCAAAUAAUAAUAUCACAGUAGGUAUAAUCGUACUAAUCAUAAGUCUUGUAACCUGUAUUGUUCACAUACAUACAUAUAUGAAAUAUGAAAGUUAAAUAUAAAACAACUAUAGAAAUGCAAGAUACGAACCCAGUUGCAUUACCCAGAUUAUACCUAGUAACCUCAGAAGAAGCCUAAGCUUCAUUUUUAAGGGGAGGGAAGUAGCAUAAUAAGUAUAUCAUGCCACUGUAGCAUAAUAAGCAUACCACUGUAAACUGCAAAACCCGCCGACUAAACAAUAUUUGCUAGUAAAUAAAUUCCUUUAUAAGUGCACGCUGAAAUAUGAAACGCGCGCAUGAUCGCUGUCAAAUCAAAGCUUUCCAUUCUCACUCUUAAACUUUUCUGUACUAUUUAGUCUUAAGCUAAUGAAUGCGGGACGGGGAUUCAGUAAAUUCUCGCGUUAAAAGACAUUUACAGCGUUGACUUUAGGCUACCUAGCCCGGUCAUGUAUUGGACUCAAGUGUUGACAAUACUUAAGUACAUAUGAACAAAACUAUAAUACUCUGUAGCAACUGGUUGCAAGGGUAUACUCGUACAAAUGCUGUCUGAAACCUUGUCGAUUGACUGUAUAACGAAUAACCCCAAUUAGCCAAUCUUCAGAUUAAUCUUGUGUAUAAUGGCAACAGAUUGUGAUGGAAAAGUUUGGAAAAAAGAGAAAGAAGAGAAGAAAAAUCGCGCAGUCAAAUAAAAGAACGCUUAGGCUGCAUUCGGUGAGCCUCGAAAUUUGGUUUAAAGAGUUUCAUCGUGGUCGCGUUUUCUGCGACGGCACAGAAAAUGUUUUAUUUCGAAUAAAAGACAUUUCACCGUACUGUGCGGUUUACCGUCCGGUUUUUUAUUAAAUUAUUAUUUCAUUCUUAAACUAUGCUUUUAAUCAAUUUAAUAUUUAGGUAAUACGAUACCAAGAACGUUUAUUCGUUUAUAUGUAUAUAUAAAUGUGUGUUUGUAUAUACACGAUCAUGGUACCGUAUUUGGUUAUGCUAUUUUGCAACUUUUGUAUAUAUUGUUACGAAUUUACUGCUUGCUAGUUUACUUUGUUAGGUUCGUAUCUCUGGAUUGACAAAUAAAAUCAACACUGUUUAAUUUAAUUCAACAACUCUUUAUUUCACAACUCGUCUACACUAUAGCAGUUUACUCUUAGCACUGAUUGAUUACGUUGGCGCUGCCGCGGCUUAUAUAGCCACGCACUUCUCGCUGAUGCCGACGUGUCCUUCUAGAAUAUUGCGUCUGGAAAUUACCAGAACAUAAUGCUAUACGGCGCCAAAUGCAGACAAGCAGACAGCCGCGGCGCCAGGCUCAGCAAUUGUUCAAGCAGUCGGCUGCGGCGCCAGAUGUCUAUUGCUUCGACAAGCAGACAGUGCGGCGCCAGAUGUCUAUUGUUUCGACAAGCAGACAGCCGCGGCGCCAGAUGUCUACGACAAGACAAAUGCUAUUCCAUAUACCUACAACUAUUGUUCAUAAUAAGGGAUGCAUAUAGCAAUACAAAUACAACUUAAUACUACUUUUGUAACACUGCCCUCCACUAAAGCCUAAUCGUCCCGAUUAGGCACAAAUCCUCUUGAACCAAAUGGGGCGAGCCUCUCCAAAUGUACUACUUUCAUUUUACAUCGUGCUUUUCCAUUUCUUUGUAUGCGGUAUACCACGUCAUUAAGCCGUUUCAUCACCAUAUAGGGUCCUUCCCAGGCUGUCUGCAAUUUCGGGGACAAACCUUUCUUUCGAAGUGGAUUGUACAACAGGACCAGAUCACCUUCUUCAAAACCUUUUGAAUUUGCCGCUUGAUCGAACCGGUCCUUCAUCUUAUUGCUCAUCAGAUGCGUAUGCUGUCUUACCAUUAGAUGCAAUUCAUUCAUUUCUUCCUUUAAGGCAGAACAAUAAUCUCCAUCAUUUCUUACAGCUGUAGGAUUCAUUCCAAACUUAAGAUCAGCAGGGAGUCGCAGAUCAGAUCCGAAAAUAAUCUUUGCUGGCGUGUAACCAGUUGUCUCGUGCUUCGCUGAACGAUACGCCAGCAGGAACAUCUGGAUGCACUUGUCCCAAUUCCCAUCUGAUUGUGGGUGUAACGCUGUUGUCCGUGUCUUGUGGAUACCCAAUAAUGUACAGACUUCUUGGAAAAUGGAAGAUUCGAAAUUCCUGCCUUGAUCUGAGUGUAAUUCGACGGGCACUCCGAGCCUUGUUAUCCAAUUUUCUACAAACGCUUCGGCUACUGUCUUCGCUUCUUGGUUUGGUAAGGCAUACAUAUACUUCUGGCCAUUUACUGAAAUAGUCCAUGACAACCAGUAGAUAUUUGUUUCCGGCCGUACUGGUUGGGAACGGACCUGCAACAUCCAUUGCGACUCGUUCAAAUGGUGAUCCCACGUUGUACUGUUGUAGCCUACCGCGACUUUUGGCUUUAGGACCUUUAGCUGCCAUGCACUCUACGCAAUUACUUAUCCAUUCUGCUAUGGAAUCUCGACAACCGAUCCAGUAGAACCGUUGUUUAAUCUUCCCUAUAGUUUUUGUAAUCCCAAGGUGCCCUCCACUAGGUCCAUUGUGAUAUUCUUUCAAUACUUUCGGGAUCAUGGACUUCGGUACUAUGAUCAGCAGACGAGACUGUUUGCCAUCUUCGCUUUCCCAGGUACGAUGAAGGUAUCCAUUAACGAGGUUUAUGCUGUUCCAUUGGGCCCAAUACGCUUUUGCAGUUGGACUCUCGCUACUUAUUUGUUCCUUUGGUGGUCGUACCCCAUUCCCCAUUUUCUUUGGCUAUUAUCAGCUUUGCAAGAUCAGGGUCCUCCAGCUGAUUGAUUCUGAUGCGGUGAGGAGUCCAAUCAUCCUCAGGUUCUAUAUUCAGUAAUCGCACGUCGAUUAUACCUUCUUUUCCCUCUGAUUUGGAGCAAUGUUUACAUUCCAGUGGACAAGGGCGACGUGAUAAUGCAUCCGCAUUUUUGUGGUGAAUCGCCUUUCGAUGUUCCGUUUCGAAGUCGUAAUUCUGUAAUCUUUCGAUUCAUCGUGCAAUUUGCCUUCCGGAUUCUUAAACUGUAAUAACCAUUUUAAUGCUGCAUGAUCAGUCCUCAGCAAGAAUCGUUGUCCAUACAAAUACUUGUGGAAAUGUUUUACACAUUCCACCACAGCUAGUAGUUCUUUUCGCGUCACACAGUAGUUUUUCUCUGGUUUCCCGAGCACUCUGCUGUAAUACCCAAUUACUCUUUCUUGCCCGUCGAUGAGCUGAGACAGGACACCUCCAAUUCCAUAAGCGCUCGCAUCUGUAUCCAGGAUGAAUUUCUGUCCAGGUAUUGGAUAAGCCAACAUCGGCGCCGUACAAAGUAGUUCUUUAAGCUGCUCAAACGCUUUUUCUUGUUCCAACUGCCAUACAAACGGGCGAUUCUUCUUUGUUAAAUCAUGUAAACUUCUAGCCACGUUCGCAAAUCCAGGUACAAAACGGCGGUAAUACGUGCAUAAGCCGAGGAAGCUGCGGAGUUCAUGUAUGUUGGUGGGUCGAGGCCAAUCUUUAACUGCUUUUAUUUUUCCUUCCUCGGUGUGAAUCCCCUCAGUUGACACUUUAUGUCCGAGAUAUGUGACCUGCUUCUUCCAUAAUGAACACUUUUUGGGAUUCAAGCGUAAUCCGGCUGAUGCUAUUCGCUGAAAGACUUCCUCUAGAUUUUUCAGAUGAUCACCAAAACUUUUACCCAUGAUGAUAAUGUCAUCAAGAUACACCAAACAUGUCUUGCGGUCUUUUCACGGUCACAUUCAUCAAUCUCGACUUGCCAAUAUCCACUUUGUAGAUCUAAUGUAGAAAACCAUUUCGCUCCAGACAAGGUGUCUAAUGUAUCGUCGAUUCUUGGUAGAGGAUAACUGUCUUUCUUUGUGACAUCAUUCAACUUCCUAUAAUCUACGCAGAAACGGGUGCUACCAUCUUUCUUUUUAACUAAGACGAUAGGUGAGCUCCAUGGACUUAUUGAAGGUUCGAUUACACCGUUUUUGUGCAUGUCUUCAAUAAUUUUGUUAGCAUCCUCACGUUUUGCUAGUGGAACCCUACGCGGAGCUUGUCGGAUUGGUUUAGCGUCUCCAGUAUUUAUGCGAUGUUUGACAAUGCCGGUUCUUCCUGUGUUUCCUUCGUUUGCAAAUAUGGAUGCGUAUUUUUCUAAUAGUUUUUCUGCUUUUAAUUUUUCAUUUCCAUGCAGUUCGUUCAGCAAAUUAUUUAGGAGUGUAGGACUUAUCUGCUGUGGCUCAAUAGUAGGCUUCUGUUCUGACCGCUCGCAUCGUGCUAUUGCACUUAUAUUCUGGCACUGUCCAAUUACUGCUCCUUUCUUCAGCCUUAUAGGCGUGUUGAAUUCAUUCACUACUCUGACCGGAAUGGUGGCGUCUUCUCUAAUUUUCACAAGCGUUCUUCCUACCAAUAUGCGUGUAUCUAUUUUUGUUGGUUCCACAAUCCACAAUUUUUCAGUCCCACCUCCUCCAUUCACUUUAGCCCAUACAAUCGCCUCAGAUUUUGGUGGAAUACUCUGAUUAUCAUCAACAAUCACCCUCUUACUUUCAACGUUGGUCACAUAUCCGGUGUUUAUAGGCAUCUCCAUGUUCUGGCAAAACAGCAUUUGCUUGUUUAAAUCCAAAGUAACUCCGUGAUCAAUCAUGAAAUCUACUCCCAUUAUAAUUUCAUCCGUGAUUUCUGCUACGAUGAAGGUGUGAUUAACUUCCAGGGUACCAAUCACCACUUCGCAAAACACUUUUCCCGCGACAGCUGCUUCCUCUCCGGUGGCCGUUCGAAGCUUGCAACCGACUAAUGGUUCAACCGUUCCUCUUACCACAUCCGGUCGGAUAAUUGAAUGUGUGGCACCAGUAUCCAAAGUAAGCGUUGACAGUCGUCCAUUUACGAUACCGUUGAUAGUAAGAUUGUUGUCAUGGCGACCUAUUUGUGAUAUCGAGAUGGCGGGGCAAAUAGUUGUGGGAACCAGCUCACGCCCCUUUAAACUGUUCCGUUUUAGUUUAACGACUUGUGAGAUGUGGAUACUCCGUCCUCGUUAUCUGUUGGUUGUUUCCGUUUUGAUGGGUUUACUUUUAUAUUGCAAUUUCGGGCAAAGUGACCCGCUUUUCCACAGUUGAAACAUCUGCCUGUUGUAUUUACUCGCGGUGCAGCAAUUGUCUUCAGAGUCUUCAAUAUUUCUUCCAUCAGCGCCGGUUGUUCCAUUUCAACUCUUUGUACUUUGUGUGCUGGUUUACUUAGAAGCGAAGCUGUUUCCUGUGUGAGGGCGUGCGAAACUGUUUCAGCAAACGUUCUUUUUGGCAAUGCAUAUGUGGCGCGUUUGGUGUCCACAUCACGAAUUCCAUUUAUGAAACUUUGAAUUUUCACCCUCUCAAUGUAAUCCACAGGUGCAUCUGUAUUUGCCAAAUGAGCCAGUCGUUCUAUUUCAGUUGCGAACUCUUGCAAUGACUCGUUCAUUUUCUGACCCCUAUUUUGCAGUUCGAUCUGGUAUAUUUGUUUCCGGUGCUCACUACCAUAUCGUCUUUCUAUCGCACUCAUCAAUGCCUCAUAGUUGUCCCGUUCACAGUCUGGAAUAGUCUGAAGGAUUUCUGCCGCGGGUCCUUUCAAUGAUACAAACAAGGACGCCACUUUGUCCGCUGCAUUCCAGUUAUUGGCCAUUGCUGUCUUUUCAAACUGAAGUUUGAAAAUUUGAAAUGGAAUACUUCCAUCGAAUGUGGGUGCCUUCAAUCUUUGAUUAUUUGUUGAUGGUGCAGGGCCAUGCAGUUGCAGUUCUCACACACUAUUACUUAAUUGAAGAACUUCUGCUUUUAAAUUUUCUUCGUCAUUUUUUAAAGUGCUAAAUUCGUCUUCAAAUUUUGAAAAUUUCUCUUGCACUUGUUUUUGUAGUUGUGUAGUAUUUUCCGUAAUCUGUUGUACCAAACGAUGUUGUUGUGUAAGGCGAGACUCUAACUGUGAUGUAUUUUCAGCUAUUUGCUGUGCCAGACGAUUUUCUGUUUGCACUGCAUUCUCUGCCAUUUGCUUAAUAGCCACUAACAGCAUGUUCAUGUCCACACUCGAUGAUGUUCGUUGUUCUUCUACUUUUUCUUCUACCUUUGUAGAAGUUUCUGGGCCAUCAAAUUCGAAUUCGUCGACAUUAAUUCCAUCCGCUUCCAUUGCUUCACGUAAUCGUGCCUGCAGAUCCGCUUUUAGCCCGCUUAUCGGCAAAUUACGCUCCUCCAGUUCCUUUUUUAAUUUCUGAAUUCUCAAUUCUCCGAAUUUAACCAUCUUGAAUUUGGAUUAUUUGACAAUACCACUUCUGACACCGUUUGUUACGAAUUUACUGCUUGCUAGUUUACUUUGUUAGGUUCGUAUCUCUGGAUUGACAAAUAAAAUCAACACUGUUUAAUUUAAUUCAACAACUCUUUAUUUCACAACUCGUCUACACUAUAGCAGUUUACUCUUAGCACUGAUUGAUUACGUUGGCGCUGCCGCGGCUUAUAUAGCCACGCACUUCUCGCUGAUGCCGACGUGUCCUUCUAGAAUAUUGCGUCUGGAAAUUACCAGAACAUAAUGCUAUACGGCGCCAAAUGCAGACAAGCAGACAGCCGCGGCGCCAGGCUCAGCAAUUGUUCAAGCAGUCGGCUGCGGCGCCAGAUGUCUAUUGCUUCGACAAGCAGACAGUGCGGCGCCAGAUGUCUAUUGUCUCGACAAGCAGACAGCCGCGGCGCCAGAUGUCUACAACAAGACAAAUGCUAUUCCAUAUACCUACAACUAUUGUUCAUAAUAAGGGAUGCAUAUAGCAAUACAAAUACAACUUAAUACUACUUUUGUAACACUGCCCUCCACUAAAGCCUAAUCGUCCCGAUUAGGCACAAAUCCUCUUGAACCAAAUGGGGCGAGCCUCUCCAAAUGUACUACUUUCAUUUUACAUCGUGCUUUUCCAUUUCUUUGUAUGCGGUAUACCACGUCAUUAAGCCGUUUCAUCACCAUAUAGGGUCCUUCCCAGGCUGUCUGCAAUUUCGGGGACAAACCUUUCUUUCGAAGUGGAUUGUACAACAGGACCAGAUCACCUUCUUCAAAACCUUUUGAAUUUGCCGCUUGAUCGAACCGGUCCUUCAUCUUAUUGCUCAUCAGAUGCGUAUGCUGUCUUACCAUUAGAUGCAAUUCAUUCAUUUCUUCCUUUAAGGCAGAACAAUAAUCUCCAUCAUUUCUUACAGCUGUAGGAUUCAUUCCAAACUUAAGAUCAGCAGGGAGUCGCAGAUCAGAUCCGAAAAUAAUCUUUGCUGGCGUGUAACCAGUUGUCUCGUGCUUCGCUGAACGAUACGCCAGCAGGAACAUCUGGAUGCACUUGUCCCAAAUCCCAUCUGAUUGUGGGUGUAACGCUGUUGUCCGUGUCUUGUGGAUACCCAAUAAUGUACAGACUUCUUGGAAAAUGGAAGAUUCGAAAUUCCUGCCUUGAUCUGAGUGUAAUUCGACGGGCACUCCGAACCUUGUUAUCCAAUUUUCUACAAACGCUUCGGCUACUGUCUUCGCUUCUUGGUUUGGUAAGGCAUACAUAUACUUCUGGCCAUUUACUGAAAUAGUCCAUGACAACCAGUAGAUAUUUGUUUCCGGCCGUACUGGUUGGGAACGGACCUGCAACAUCCAUUGCGACUCGUUCAAAUGGUGAUCCCACGUUGUACUGUUGUAGCCUACCGCGACUUUUGGCUUUAGGACCUUUAGCUGCCAUGCACUCUACGCAAUUACUUAUCCAUUCUGCUAUGGAAUCUCGACAACCGAUCCAGUAGAACCGUUGUUUAAUCUUCUCUAUAGUUUUUGUAAUCCCAAGGUGCCCUCCACUAGGUCCAUUGUGAUAUUCUUUCAAUACUUUCGGGAUCAUGGACUUCGGUACUAUGAUCAGCAGACGAGACUGUUUGCCAUCUUCGCUUUCCCAGGUACGAUGAAGGUAUCCAUUAACGAGGUUUAUGCUGUUCCAUUGGGCCCAAUACGCUUUUGCAAUUGGACUCUCGCUACUUAUUUGUUCCUUUGGUGGUCGUACCCCAUUUUCUUUGGCUAUUAUCAGCUUUGCAAGAUCAGGGUCCUCCAGCUGAUUGAUUCUGAUGCGGUGAGGAGUCCAAUCAUCCUCAGGUUCUAAAUUCAGUAAUCGCACGUCGAUUAUACCUUCUUUUCCCUCUGAUUUGGAGCAAUGUUUACAUUCCAGUGGACAAGGGCGACGUGAUAAUGCAUCCGCAUUUUUGUAGUGAAUCGCCUUUCGAUGUUCCGUUUCGAAGUCGUAAUUCUGUAAUCUUUCGAUUCAUCGUGCAAUUUGCCUUCCGGAUUCUUAAACUGUAAUAACCAUUUUAAUGCUGCAUGAUCAGUCCUCAGCAAGAAUCGUUGUCCAUACAAAUACUUGUGGAAAUGUUUUACACAUUCCACCACAGCUAGUAGUUCUUUUCGCGUCACACAGUAGUUUUUCUCUGGUUUCCCGAGCACUCUGCUGUAAUACCCAAUUACUCUUUCUUGCCCGUCGAUGAGCUGAGACAGGACACCUCCAAUUCCAUAAGCGCUCGCAUCUGUAUCCAGGAUGAAUUUCUGUCCAGGUAUUGGAUAAGCCAACAUCGGCGCCGUACAAAGUAGUUCUUUAAGCUGCUCAAACGCUUUUUCUUGUUCCAACUGCCAUACAAACGGGCGAUUCUUCUUUGUUAAAUCAUGUAAACUUCUAGCCACGUUCGCAAAUCCAGGUACAAAACGGCGGUAAUACGUGCAUAAGCCGAGGAAGCUGCGGAGUUCAUGUAUGUUGGUGGGUCGAGGCCAAUCUUUAACUGCUUUUAUUUUUCCUUCCUCGGUGUGAAUCCCCUCAGUUGACACUUUAUGUCCGAGAUAUGUGACCUGCUUCUUCCAUAAUGAACACUUUUUGGGAUUCAAGCGUAAUCCGGCUGAUGCUAUUCGCUGAAAGACUUCCUCUAGAUUUUUCAGAUGAUCACCAAAACUUUUACCCAUGAUGAUAAUGUCAUCAAGAUACACCAAACAUGUCUUGCGGUCUUUUCACGGUCACAUUCAUCAAUCUCGACUUGCCAAUAUCCACUUUGUAGAUCUAAUGUAGAAAACCAUUUCGCUCCAGACAAGGUGUCUAAUGUAUCGUCGAUUCUUGGUAGAGGAUAACUGUCUUUCUUUGUGACAUCAUUCAACUUCCUAUAAUCUACGCAGAAACGGGUGCUACCAUCUUUCUUUUUAACUAAGACGAUAGGUGAGCUCCAUGGACUUAUUGAAGGUUCGAUUACACCGUUUUUGUGCAUGUCUUCAAUAAUUUUGUUAGCAUCCUCACGUUUUGCUAGUGGAACCCUACGCGGAGCUUGUCGGAUUGGUUUAGCGUCUCCAGUAUUUAUGCGAUGUUUGACAAUGCCGGUUCUUCCUGUGUUUCCUUCGUUUGCAAAUAUGGAUGCGUAUUUUUCUAAUAGUUUUUCUGCUUUUAAUUUUUCAUUUCCAUGCAGUUCGUUCAGCAAAUUAUUUAGGAGUGUAGGACUUAUCUGCUGUGGCUCAAUAGUAGGCUUCUGUUCUGACCGCUCGCAUCGUGCUAUUGCACUUAUAUUCUGGCACUGUCCAAUUACUGCUCCUUUCUUCAGCCUUAUAGGCGUGUUGAAUUCAUUCACUACUCUGACCGGAAUGGUGGCGUCUUCUCUAAUUUUCACAAGCGUUCUUCCUACCAAUAUGCGUGUAUCUAUUUUUGUUGGUUCCACAAUCCACAAUUUUUCAGUCCCACCUCCUCCAUUCACUUUAGCCCAUACAAUCGCCUCAGAUUUUGGUGGAAUACUCUGAUUAUCAUCAACAAUCACCCUCUUACUUUCAACGUUGGUCACAUAUCCGGUGUUUAUAGGCAUCUCCAUGUUCUGGCAAAACAGCAUUUGCUUGUUUAAAUCCAAAGUAACUCCGUGAUCAAUCAUGAAAUCUACUCCCAUUAUAAUUUCAUCCGUGAUUUCUGCUACGAUGAAGGUGUGAUUAACUUCCAGGGUACCAAUCACCACUUCGCAAAACACUUUUCCCGCGACAGCUGCUUCCUCUCCGGUGGCCGUUCGAAGCUUGCAACCGACUAAUGGUUCAACCGUUCCUCUUACCACAUCCGGUCGGAUAAUUGAAUGUGUGGCACCAGUAUCCAAAGUAAGCGUUGACAGUCGUCCAUUUACGAUACCGUUGAUAGUAAGAUUGUUGUCAUGGCGACCUAUUUGUGAUAUCGAGAUGGCGGGGCAAAUAGUUGUGGGAACCAGCUCACGCCCCUUUAAACUGUUCCGUUUUAGUUUAACGACUUGUGAGAUGUGGAUACUCCGUCCUCGUUAUCUGUUGGUUGUUUCCGUUUUGAUGGGUUUACUUUUAUAUUGCAAUUUCGGGCAAAGUGACCCGCUUUUCCACAGUUGAAACAUCUGCCUGUUGUAUUUACUCGCGGUGCAGCAAUUGUCUUCAGAGUCUUCAAUAUUUCUUCCAUCAGCGCCGGUUGUUCCAUUUCAACUCUUUGUACUUUGUGUGCUGGUUUACUUAGAAGCGAAGCUGUUUCCUGUGUGAGGGCGUGCGAAACUGUUUCAGCAAACGUUCUUUUUGGCAAUGCAUAUGUGGCGCGUUUGGUGUCCACAUCACGAAUUCCAUUUAUGAAACUUUGAAUUUUCACCCUCUCAAUGUAAUCCACAGGUGCAUCUGUAUUUGCCAAAUGAGCCAGUCGUUCUAUUUCAGUUGCGAACUCUUGCAAUGACUCGUUCAUUUUCUGACCCCUAUUUUGCAGUUCGAUCUGGUAUAUUUGUUUCCGGUGCUCACUACCAUAUCGUCUUUCUAUCGCACUCAUCAAUGCCUCAUAGUUGUCCCGUUCACAGUCUGGAAUAGUCUGAAGGAUUUCUGCCGCAGGCCCUUUCAAUGAUACAAACAAGGACGCCACUUUGUCCGCUGCAUUCCAGUUAUUGGCCAUUGCUGUCUUUUCAAACUGAAGUUUGAAAAUUUGAAAUGGAAUACUUCCAUCGAAUGUGGGUGCCUUCAAUCUUUGAUUAUUUGUUGAUGGUGCAGGGCCAUGCAGUUGCAGUUCUCACACACUAUUACUUAAUUGAAGAACUUCUGCUUUUAAAUUUUCUUCGUCAUUUUUUAAAGUGCUUAAUUCGUCUUCAAAUUUUGAAAAUUUCUCUUGCACUUGUUUUUGUAGUUGUGUAGUAUUUUCCGUAAUCUGUUGUACCAAACGAUGUUGUUGUGUAAGGCGAGACUCUAACUGUGAUGUAUUUUCAGCUAUUUGCUGUGCCAGACGAUUUUCUGUUUGCACUGCAUUCUCUGCCAUUUGCUUAAUAGCCACUAACAGCAUGUUCAUGUCCACACUCGAUGAUGUUCGUUGUUCUUCUACUUUUUCUUCUACCUUUGUAGAAGUUUCUGGGCCAUCAAAUUCGAAUUCGUCGACAUUAAUUCCAUCCGCUUCCAUUGCUUCACGUAAUCGUGCCUGCAGAUCCGCUUUUAGCCCGCUUAUCGGCAAAUUACGCUCCUCCAGUUCCUUUUUUAAUUUCUGAAUUCUCAAUUCUCCGAAUUUAACCAUCUUGAAUUUGGAUUAUUUGACAAUACCACUUCUGACACCGUUUGUUACGAAUUUACUGCUUGCUAGUUUACUUUGUUAGGUUCGUAUCUCUGGAUUGACAAAUAAAAUCAACACUGUUUAAUUUAAUUCAACAACUCUUUAUUUCACAACUCGUCUACACUAUAGCAGUUUACUCUUAGCACUGAUUGAUUACGUUGGCGCUGCCACGGCUUAUAUAGCCAGGCACUUCUCGCUGAUGCCGACGUGUCCUUCUAGAAUAUUGCGUCCGGAAAUUACCAGAACAUAAUGCUAUACGGCGCCAAAUGCAGACAAGCAGACAGCCGCGGCGCCAGACUCAGCAAUUGUUCAAGCAGACGGCUGCGGCGCCAGAUGUCUAUUGCUUCGACAAGCAGACAGUGCGGCGCCAGAUGUCUAUUGUUUCGACAAGCAGACAGCCGCGGCGCCAGAUGUCUACAACAAGAUAAAUGCUAUUGCAUAUACCUACAACUAUUAUUCAUAAUAAGGGAUGCAUAUAGCAAUACAAAUACAACUUAAUACCACUUUUGUAACAAUACGUAUUUAUAGUUGCAAAAUACACAUAUUUACAAUUAUUACUAAAUUACAUUAAAUAAUAUUUUGGUAGUGGUGGAGUCAUCUGAUGACGUAAUUCCCCCAACGUUACUGUUAGAACUCUCCUGAGUUCUUGUAUUUACAAUUUUUAUUUUAGUUGUUUUUUUCUAUACCAUUAUGGUAAUGAUUACUAUUAUUAUCAUAACUAUAAUUAUUAAUAUUAGGUUGAUACCAUAUGAUACAUUUUUAUGGUAUUUCAAUUCUUCAAUUUCUUUUAAAUUUUCAAUAUUUUUUAAUGCGAUGUCAUUAAAUGUCAAGUUUGGUGUGUAGCUCUGGUUUAAUCUUUCGACAGGAUACACAAUGGUAUGAAUAUAUUCUGUUUUAUUAUUUUUAUAUUCUUGUUGCAAUAUUUCUAUUUUACAAUUUACAAAUUUGAUUAUAUAGUUAUUUUUUAAUACAAUUUUUCUGUCAUCGCAGUUUUGUUUUAUUACAUCAUUUUUUGCAUUUCUUAUUAAUAUUGUGUAUUUCUUGUAUUGAUGUUUUGUUCUCAUAUUUAAAUUCGCAAGUAUUUGAAAAUAUGCAGCUUUUACUCAAUUUUAGAUUUUUAAAUGCUUUAUUUUCUACAUAAUCAAAAUAGUUUUCGCAAAUUUUUAUAACGAAUUUUUCUUUUAUAUCCGUUUUAGGUUUUGAUUUAAAAAAAAUUAAAUUGGAUUUUAGUCGCCUCUUACGACAGGCAUCUCUUACCAUGGGUAUAUUCUAGAAAGACCCCUUACCCACUGGGGUAAAAAAAAUCAUGUAUAUAUAUGUAUGUAUAUGUAGAAAAAAAAAUUAAAUGUUAUUAUCUCCAUUAAAUGCCCUUAGACUGAAUGAAUCGUCAUCAUUCUCAUUUGGAUUUUCUAUGUUUGCCAAUUUCAUUGGUCUUUUUAUAUUUGCCGGAUGGACGUUUUGUAAGGGAAAUAUUCUGAAAUAUGGUUGAUCUUUAUGCCUUACUCUUUUGUAGUUUUUAAUUGGUCCUGUUUGUCUGUUUUCUAUAUAUUCUUCUCUGUUUUGAUUUAAUUUGGCUAUUGUUUUCUGUUUUACUGUAUUUAUUCUAUCUUGUAAUAUGGAUGGACAAAUGUUUUCUUUGGCGUCCCUUGGAGAACAUUUGAUAGUUGAGUGGUACCUAUCGUUAUAGUUGCAUAUAACAAUUUGUUUUCUCAUUUCUGUUGAAAGACUAGAGUCCUCAAUUCCUGUUAGUUUUUCCAACAAGGUUGAGUGCAGUCUCUCAAUGUCUGCAUUUCCUGUAUGACUAUUUGGUUUUGUGUGAUGGACUUCUACAUUUUCGGCAUUUAAAUAAUUUAUUAAUUGUUCUGCUCUUAAAUCUCUGAAAAGUAGCUGGGACAUUUUUCAACCCGAAAGGCAUUCGGACGUAUUCAUAUAGUCCUGCCGGAGUGACAAAACCUGUUUUCUGGAUGUCUCUUUCUGCCAUUAAAAUCUGAUGGUAACCUUUUGCUAGAUCUAUAGUGCUAAAGUACUGUGCUUUGCCCAAUUUAUCUAAGAUUCCUUCGAUAUUCGGUAGAGGAUACUUAUCGUCUACAGUCAAUUGGUUUAACCUCCUAUAAUCAACCACUAACCUGAAUUUUUGUAUUUGUGAGCUUGUCCCCUUCUUUAUAGAUACGUUUAUUGAAAUACUUUAAUAAUUUUUCGAUUUCCUUUUUCUCAUUUGAUUUUAAAUGAUCAAGGUUGAUGUUCUUUACUUCACUUAAUGAAUCUAAUGAAUAAACUUGCUCUUACAUAGUUUUCAUAUAGAAUGAAAGAUUCACACCAUUUUUAAAAGUUGUAGUGCUAACUGCAUUAGUUCUUAAACAAAAACAUGCAGUACUGAUAUUUUUAUGUUAAUUUAAGGAUAUUUUAUUGUUAUUUAUUACUUUUUAAUUAAAUA